rnacentral:tRNA from 1 species
GUUUCUAUGGUCUAGUGGUUAUGAUUUCUGUCUUACACACAGAAGGUCUCCAGUUCGAACCUGGAUGGAAACA